AGCAGAAUCGUACUACUGUCACUUCUACAACAAUGGUUUUCGACUACACUGGUCAGAGAUAUGAUAUACCAUGUAAUACUGUGGGUUCAUCAGGUAUGAAUGUCACUUGGACAUCCACUUUAGAUCUUAAAACAAAGAUGGUGAACACAAUGAAUGGAAUAUCUCAAAAUGGACUGUUGGAAUACGUGAACUCUACUUUCAGCUUCAUGGGAAAUGAUUCCAGUAUUAUGCUUACCAGAGAUAACCCAGCUGGUGUGCGGUUCAAUGUGACAUGCACUACAGCAUACAACACCAGUUUUAAUUGUAGAUUUGCCGUAAAUACUUCUGCAAGUGAUAAGCAGGUACCCCAGGAUAUACUGGACCGAUGUGAUAGAGCAGUCAAGUCUUUGUCAACAACGUACUCCAUCAGCAUUCAAGGCAGUAUGGGCAAUUAUCCCACACUGGAACCAGAUAACAUACAUUCAUCAAAUCAAUGCCAGCAAUCGAGGACAUCUGAGAGUUUACCGAAGACACCAGGUCGAUCUGGCUCUGGGGUGAAUCUGGGAACAAUAUUUGCAAUAGCAACAGCACUAGGAAGACCAGCAGGAAUUUUUUGUCUUUGUUGCCUGCAUGUUUUUUUAAUCUGAAAGCGAAACGGCCUUCGAUUGGCAAUUAAACAGGCUGGAGUGAAGGAACGAGGAUAAACAUGUCUAAACCUGGUACUCAAUAUAAUAGCACGCGAGAUGGGAAUGAAACAAGUGCUGCUAACACUGCUUAAAGAUCCAGCCAGUGUGUUACAUGAACAGUGGAACCCACUUAUAAGUACUUUAGAUAUACAACUGCUUUGUACGCUAUUUUUCCUACGCAUGCAUUUUCCAACUACCAGCGUAACUACAUUUUGUGCUAAACAUUAAAUUUUCUUAGUUUAUCACGGUGGAAGCAGCCCUUCUCUCUUCAUACAGUUCCUCGAGAAUCACGCAUUCUAUUCUGUUGCUAAAAGUAGAUGUAAAACGCAUGCAGAUGUUUGCUUCAAAAUUGUUCAUCCCAGAAAUGUUUCUCACGUUCAUAUCCAAUCGCUAUAUUAGGUGCUGUUUUAUUUAUGCAUGUCUGGUUUGCUUCAUUUCUAUUUAUGGCAAGCAAGGACAUUUAAGAAAGCUAUUUGAGAUUUUUGUUACUAUUUUUGGUUCUUGUUUACUUACCUACGUAUAUGUUCAAGGGACUGGAUAUCGUCAUUUGAAGAGCGAGAUACAUGCCUCACUGUGCAACCCUUCGUUUAACUUAGAGGAGAUUAAGGUUUUCUGUUAGGCUUUCUGUUUUCAUUGAGAGAUAUGUUGGUAAGGUAUUUCAUUUGCGAGAAGAAAAGGUUUCUAUUUUACUACACAGCUAGGCUUAGUUAUCUUGCAUAUUCAUCCAAAAUUUCAUUGCAGUAUGGUUAUUAUGUCCAGGACUCAAAAGACGUGUAUUAACAUUAUUAUCUUUAUCAUCUACAUAUAUUUCAUGUCCGAUGGCGGCCUAUAUUCUCGUUUUUCCUUCAUUACCUUGGCACAUGUUAUUGCGGCUGGAUAUCAUUUUCACUAAAUUUAGAGGAGAUAAAGAUUUUCUGUUAGGUUUUCUGUUUUCAUUUAGAGAUAUGUUGAUGAAGUAUUUGAUUUGCGAGAGCAAAACGUUUAUAUUUUAUUGCACAGCUAGGAUCAGUAAGUGAGAUUAUGCUCUUUAUGCCUUAAAUUAGGAUUCAUAAUCUUCAGUAUUUGUCCUGGAUUUGAUUGCAGUGUGCGUAUGGCGUC